AUCUGGAAGCUGGCCCCUUUUUCUUCCAGUGGCUUGCUGUGCACCUCGGCCUCCGCCAUGUUGUGUUCGCGACGAAUCUGCGGCCUCAUCCGGCGCAUGUGCAGAUUACACUUUACUGCACUUGGCCAAUUGAUGUGGGAAGGCGCUCGUUAGUCUCCUGAUUCACGUACAUGCAUGACACUUUUUCCAAGCACCCAGAUGGUCACCUGUGGUAGCGGAGGUCUCGGACACCCUGACGCGGUUCCCU